GCACAGGAAACUUAGGGAGAAUAAGGAGGAGUCUGAAACUUGAAUGAAGUUUAAGAGGUUCUGUCUCAGAAACAGAAACAAAAACUAAAGAACCACAGAGAGACAGAAGCACCACAUUCUGGAGUCCAACCCAUCACAGCACAGGGAAGAAGAUUCAGGAGCCUGGGUAGAGCAGUUCCUCUUUCUCAGCAACUACUAAUAUGACAUCGUCAUGACAGGAAGCAGAAACAAGCCUGCAGAGGCCACACAGCUUGUGCCUGUGUGUCUGGAAAGGUACCAAGUAUCUGAAAACGUAUGGCAACUGGAGAUGCCAUGACUCCUUUUCUCGCAGUCUUGCUGUAUCUUGGACUGAGUGUGGACGUCUGGAUCCAAGUGCUGGCAGGGGCCCUGUCUAAACCUACACUCAGGGCAGUGCCAAGUAAUGUGGUGGCCACUGGAAGCCAGGUGACAUUAUUUUGUGAAGGACCAUCAGAGGCCAAGGAAUAUUAUCUCUACAAAGAAGGAAGUGAGGAUUACCUGAUGCCAACAACCAUUCUAAAAACUGAGAACAAGGCCACAUUCUCUGUCUCAUCGAUUCAAUGGAAUAAUGCAGGGCAAUAUACGUGUGAAUAUAAAAGCUCCACCGGCACAUCUGAACGCAGUGACAAUCUGGAGCUGGUGGUGACAGGAGUUCAUUCCUCCAACAUCACCCUGUCAGCACUGCCCCAUAUGGUGGUGACCUCAGGUGAUAAUGUGACCCUUAAGUGUGUGUCAGAAUGGGCAUAUGAUGUGUUCAUUCUAAUGAAGGAAGAUGAGAAGUUCUCCAGGCAUUUGCCCUCACAGAAUAUCCACCCUGAAUACCUUGGCCUGUUUGGAGCCCUGUUCACAGUGGGUCCUGUGAACCCCAGCCAGAGGUGGAGGUUCACAUGCUAUGGCUAUUACAUGAGCACCCCCCAGUUGUGGUCAGUGCCCAGCAACAACCUAGAGCUCCUGGUUUCAGGGAAACUUCAGAAACCCAACAUUUGGGCUCAGCCAGGUUCUGUGAUCUCUUCAGGGAGUUCUGUUACCAUCUGGUGUGAGGGUGUGCUAAAAGCCCUUACCUAUGCGAUACAUAAAGAGGGAAGCCCAGAUACCAGCAACACAGAGACCCAAGUAGACCACAACAAUAUGGCGAAAUUCUCCAUCCCGUCUGUGACCAGCCUAAACGCAGGGCGAUAUAACUGUUACUCUUACAGUUCUGCUGGGUGGACAGAGCGUAGUGACACCCUGGAGCUGGUGGUGACAGGUGUCCAUGAUGGCAAACCUACUCUCUCAGCUUUACCCAGCACUGUGGUGACCUCGGAUGGGAAUGUGACACUUCAGUGUCUCUCAUCCAAAGGAUACAAUGGGUUUGUUUUGAUUGGGACAGAAGUGAAGUUCUCCAGGUCCCAGAAGGCACAGUUCAUAAAGAAUGCACACUUCCAGGCUCUGUUUCCUGAGAUAUCUGUGACAUACAGCCAUAAUGGUCCCUUCAGAUGUUAUGGAUACUAUACAGAUACACCCUAUGUUUGGUCAGAGGCCAGUAACCCUCUGGAGAUCCGUGUCUCAGGGGAAGGUAUAAAACUUGCCAUGUGUGUGGUCGGACAGUGUGAAGGACAACCAAGAAGAAAAAAUGAGAGAAAAUGACGAAAUAGCUCUGAGCCUCCUCAGUUCAAGGUGCUGGCUCAGGAAGAUAUCACAUUUAUUUUGUAAUACGUCCUGGUCCAUAGUGACUGACAGGAUUCAGCUAGAUGUAGAGGCUAACAGUGAAAAUGCAAGAAGAAACACCACUAUUAGACUUGGGGUCAUGAUUCCAGAACAAGAAAGCUGAGGGAGAAGGAAGAGGAGACUAAGACCUGCAUGAGGCUCAGGAGGUUCUGUCUCAGAAACAAAAAGAAAAACGAGAGCAGCACCAAGAGACAGAAGUCACAUAUUUUACAGCCCAUCCCAUCACACACUGGGGAAAGAAGAGUCAGGUGCCUGGGAAAAAAGAGUUCCUCUUUCUCAGGGGCUGUUAUAUUACACCCUCAAGACACCAAGGAGACACCACCCUGGAAAGAACAGACACUUUGUGUCCAUCCAUUUGGCAAGGACAACAACUCUCUGUAUACUUAUAGCAAAUGGAAGACACCAUGACUGCCCCUCUCACAUCCCUGCUGUAUCUUGGUGAGAUGUCAAGAUGGGAAGAGGGAAUUCUAGUUGAAGAGGGAGACCACCUCAUAGUCAUGCCGAGGAACACCAGGAUGUCACAGCAGCUCAAAUAUAAUCUGGAAUUAGAGGGCCUGCUCAUGCUUCAGUGCAAACACUCACAGGUCACUCCUGAACAGAAUAUGUGGAGAACAGUAGGUGUUGGGUGAUGCUGUGAAUGACUGGUCCUGGGUCUGAGAGUCUGUAUAUGAGAGGUGUAAUGUGAACCCAGCUGCUGUCAAUUUUCUUGCAGGGGACCUCUCUAAACCUACACUCAGGGUAGUGCCAAGAAAUGUGGUAACCACUGGGGACCAGGUGACAUUCUUCUGUGAAGGGCCCUUACAGGCCAAGGAAUAUAUUCUCUAUAAAGAAGGAAGGUCAGAUUACCUGAUAACAACCCUUCCAGAAACUAGGAACAAGGCCAAGUUCCCUAUCUCAUCGGUUGGAUGGAAUGAUGCAGGCAGAUACUGGUGUAACUAUAAAGUCACCAAUGACAGAUCAGCAAAAAGUGACCUCCUGGAGCUGGUGGUGACAGGAGUUUACCCCAGCAAACUGAAACUGUCAGCCCUUCCCAGCACUGUGGUGAAAUCAGGAGCAAAUGUGUCCCUUCAAUGUGUGUCACGACAGGCAUAUACCUGGUUAAUUCUAAUGAAGGAAGAUGAGAAGUUCUCCAGGCCUUUGGCCACACAGAAUAUAUACCCUGAUCUCUUUGGUGCCCAGUUCACAGUAGGUCCUAUGACUCCCAACCAGAGGUGGAGUUUCACAUGCUAUGGCUAUUAUUGGACCAGCUCCCAGCUGUGGUCAGUGCCCAGUAACCACCUAGAGCUCCUAGUCCCAGCCCCAGCACCAGAGACCCAGAGUGAUCAUACAGUGGAGAAUCUCCUGAGAAUGGGGAUGGCCAGCUUGGUACUUAUAAUUCUUGGAAUACUGGUGUUUGAGUCUUGUCAUGGCUCUAGACAUGUUCAACACGCAAAUGGAAUGGGGAUGGGAGAUACAGUAAUGCAUCCUAUGUAGUCUCAUGGAAUGGACAAUAAAUAUGAGGAUUCUGGGUGGUUUCAUAAGAAAAUUCAGUGCCCAUCUUGGAGAAGUAUUGUAGAAACAUACUAGGAAUCAGUAUGAAUUGAGUGCAAGGGAAAGGUCUGCCUGUUGGGCUGGAGAACUCUUCACACAGCCACUGACGUUAUUCCCUUGCAUCUUGCUGUGGGCAUUUGCUGAGGAGUUCUUCCUUUCUCCUUAUGUAAUGAUGUGGGGGAACAUCCUGUACCAUCAAGUAGGGUUGAACCCUCAUUAUUGUAUAUGUUCUGCUCUUUAUUAUUUUCAUAUAGCAUUUUCCAUUAUUUUAAAUUACUAUGUUCCCACCUACAUUAUGAAUUUCCAUUUCUCUUUUACUGAAUACAAACUGCUUGGCUCAGUUACAAUAAACAUCAGCUGAAAUAAGACUCAAGAAUUUAAACAAGUAACUUAAUACAAAUAAUGCUCUGAACCUCUUCUCAGAAGCUAAAGGGGCCUGUAGUUUUCACCAUAUGUCAAUUUUGUGAUUUAUCUUAAUAAGGAAAUGAUUGUCACAGGAAAAAAAUCAGUGUUCGAAGAAUUUCACUGGUAGGGCACUCUUAAAACAGCUUUGGAAUCAUUACUUUAAAAAGUAAAAUCAUUAUGUGAAGUAUA